rnacentral:rRNA from 1 species
GACGAACGCUGGCGGCGUGCCUAAUACAUGCAAGUAGAACGCUGAAGGAGGAGCUUGCUUUCCGGAUGAGUUGCGAACGGGUGAGUAACGCGUAGGUAACCUGCCUGGUAGCGGGGGAUAACUAUUGGAAACGAUAGCUAAUACCGCAUAACAGUAGAUAUUGCCUGAUAUCUGCUUGAAAGGUGCAAAUGCAUCACUACCAGAUGGACCUGCGUUGUAUUAGCUAGUUGGUGGGGUAACGGCUCACCAAGGCGACGAUACAUAGCCGACCUGAGAGGGUGAUCGGCCACACUGGGACUGAGACACGGCCCAGACUCCUACGGGAGGCAGCAGUAGGGAAUCUUCGGCAAUGGACGGAAGUCUGACCGAGCAACGCCGCGUGAGUGAAGAAGGUUUUCGGAUCGUAAAGCUCUG